UGUGUGAGAUAUUUAUUAAGGUUAAAUGGUGAAUUGUUUGAGCCAAAAGCAUAAACAAAUAGACAUUUAACAUUAAUUACAAUUUUAUAAAUGUCUUUUGGCAAUUGAUAAUCGCUAAAAACUAUUUUCUGAAGUUUGCAAAGCACGGAAUUUCUAUUUAUAAAGCAGUAAGCCAAAUUUUAUUUAUCACAUGCAUAUAAGGAUAAAUAUGGCUCAAAUUCUUAUGAUUGUUUAUGCUUUGAUAAUUUUUCUUUCUCUAUUUCUUGUUGUAAUCAGUGGUGACAAUUCAAUAGUUGACAUGCCCUGCGUUUCAGAUGAAGAUUGUCCAAAAAAGACUUCCAUGAUUAUGAAGUGCGUCCAAAAUAAAUGUAUUUUCAUUUUUCAGUAACAAUUAAGUUUAAAAAUAAUUAUCCUUCAAAAAAAAAAGUUUAAAAAUAAUUAUGUUACUUUUAAGCGUGUAAUUUUAUUUAUAUCCAAAAUAAGUGUAUGUUUGUGUUGUGAUGUUGUAACAAUUAAAAUUAAAAAUAAUUAUGUUACCUCUCUAA